GGCCUGUUAGCUCAGUGGGAUAGAGCGUGGUGCUAGUAAUGUCAAUGUUAUGGGUUCAGUCCCUAUACAGACCA
rnacentral:tRNA from 1 species